rnacentral:rRNA from 1 species
GGGCUAUACAUGCAGUCGAACGCUUCUUUCCUCCCGAGUGCUUGCACUCAAUUGGAAAGAGGAGUGGCGGACGGGUGAGUAACACGUGGGUAACCUACCCAUCAGAGGGGGAUAACACUUGGAAACAGGUGCUAAUACCGCAUAACAGUUUAUGCCGCAUGGCAUAAGAGUGAAAGGCGCUUUCGGGUGUCGCUGAUGGAUGGACCCGCGGUGCAUUAGCUAGUUGGUGAGGUAACGGCUCACCAAGGCCACGAUGCAUAGCCGACCUGAGAGGGUGAUCGGCCACACUGGGACUGAGACACGGCCCAGACUCCUACGGGAGGCAGCAGUAGGGAAUCUUCGGCAAUGGACGAAAGUCUGACCGAGCAACGCCGCGUGAGUGAAGAAGGUUUUCGGAUCGUAAAACUCUGUUGUUAGAGAAGAACAAGGACGUUAGUAACUGAACGUCCCCUGACGGUAUCUAACCAGAAAGCCACGGCUAACUACGUGCCAGCAGCCGCGGUAAUACGUAGGUGGCAAGCGUUGUCCGGAUUUAUUGGGCGUAAAGCGAGCGCAGGCGGUUUCUUAAGUCUGAUGUGAAAGCCCCCGGCUCAACCGGGGAGGGUCAUUGGAAACUGGGAGACUUGAGUGCAGAAGAGGAGAGUGGAAUUCCAUGUGUAGCGGUGAAAUGCGUAGAUAUAUGGAGGAACACCAGUGGCGAAGGCGGCUCUCUGGUCUGUAACUGACGCUGAGGCUCGAAAGCGUGGGGAGCAAACAGGAUUAGAUACCCUGGUAGUCCACGCCGUAAACGAUGAGUGCUAAGUGUUGGAGGGUUUCCGCCCUUCAGUGCUGCAGCAAACGCAUUAAGCACUCCGCCUGGGGAGUACGACCGCAAGGUUGAAACUCAAAGGAAUUGACGGGGGCCCGCACAAGCGGUGGAGCAUGUGGUUUAAUUCGAAGCAACGCGAAGAACCUUACCAGGUCUUGACAUCCUUUGACCACUCUAGAGAUAGAGCUUUCCCUUCGGGGACAAAGUGACAGGUGGUGCAUGGUUGUCGUCAGCUCGUGUCCUGAGAUGUUGGGUUAAGUCCCGCAACGAGCGCAACCCUUAUGUUAGUUGCCAUCAUUUAAUUGGGCACUCUACCGAGACUGCCGGUGACAACCGGAA